UACGUAGGGGGCAAGCGUUGUCCGGAAUUAUUGGGCGUAAAGAGCGCGUAGGCGGUCCGAUAAGUCGGCUGUGAAAGUCAAGGGCUCAACCCUUGGAUGCCGGUGGAUACUGCAGGGCUAGAGUCCGGAAGAGGAGAGUGGAAUUCCUGGUGUAGCGGUGAAAUGCGCAGAUAUCAGGAAGAACACCCGUGGCGAAGGCGGCUCUCUGGGACGGCCCUGACGCUGAGGCGCGAAAGCGUGGGGAGCGAACGGG
rnacentral:rRNA from 1 species